AAUCGUACUUUUCGGUAGCUCGUCGGGCUCAUAACCCGAAGGUCAUAGGUUCAAAUCCUAUUU
rnacentral:tRNA from 1 species